rnacentral:rRNA from 1 species
CAGUCGCCACGGGAAUACAGAGGGUGCGAGCGUUAAUCGGAUUUACUGGGCGUAAAGCGUGCGUAGGCGGCUUCUUAAGUCGGAUGUGAAAUCCCUGAGCUUAACUUAGGAAUUGCAUUUGAUACUGGGAAGCUAGAGUAUGGGAGAGGAUGGUAGAAUUCCAGGUGUAGCGGUGAAAUGCGUAGAGAUCUGGAGGAAUACCGAUGGCGAAGGCAGCCAUCUGGCCUAAUACUGACGCUGAGGUACGAAAGCAUGGGGAGCAAACAGGAUUAGAUACCCGCGUAGUCCCUGUCUCUUAUAC